rnacentral:rRNA from 1 species
CCUACGGGAGGCAGCAGUCGAGAAUUUUUCACAAUGGGCGCAAGCCUGAUGGAGCGACGCCGCGUGGGGGAUGAAUGGCUUCGGCCCGUAAACCCCUGUCAUUUGCGAUCAAAGCGCGUUAUUUAAAAGAUGACGUGUUGAUAGUAGCGAAAGAGGAAGGGACGGCUAACUCUGUGCCAGCAGCCGCGGUAAUACAGAGGUCCCGAGCGUUGUUCGGAUUCACUGGGCGUAAAGGGUGCGUAGGUGGUGGGGUAAGUCGGAUGUGAAAUCUCGGA